rnacentral:rRNA from 1 species
AACGUAGGUGGCAAGCGUUAUCCGGAAUUACUGGGCGUAAAGGGUGUGCAGGCGGGGUGGCAAGUGGUGUAUGAAAUAUCCCAGCUUAACUGGGAGGGGUUAUGCCAGACUGCUACUCUAGAGGACGAGAGAGGGGCGUGGAAUUCCGGGUGUAGUGGUGAAAUGCGUAGAGAUCCGGAGGAACCCCAGAGGCGAAGGCGAUGCCCUGGCUCGUACCUGACGCUCAGCCACGAAAGCAUGGGGAGCGAACGGG